rnacentral:rRNA from 1 species
UAGGGAAUAUUGGACAAUGGGGGCAACCCUGAUCCAGCCAUGCCGCGUGAGUGAAGAAGGCCCUCGGGUUGUAAAGCUCUUUUGUCCGGAAAGAAAAGCAUUCGGUGAAUACCCGGAUGUUCUGACGGUACCGGAAGAAUAAGCACCGGCUAACUUCGUGCCAGCAGCCGCGGUAAUACGAAGGGUGCAAGCGUUACUCGGAAUUACUGGGCGUAAAGCGUGCGUAGGUGGUUGUGUAAGUCGGAUGUGAAAGCCCUGGGCUCAACCUGGGAAUGGCAUUUGAAACUGGGCAGCUAGAGUGCGGUAGAGGGUAGUGGAAUUCCCGGUGUAGCAGUGAAAUGCGUAGAGAUCGGGAGGAACAUCUGUGGCGAAGGCGACUGCCUGGACCAGCACUGACACUGAGGCACGAAAGCGUGGGGAGCAAACA